UUAUCAUUUGAACUUUGAAUCCAGUCGGGAAGUUGAGACGUAAACUCCUCCGUGAUGGUGAUUUGUGGUAUAUUUCCAGUUUUCAGGGUCAGGUUAUUAACCAGAGUAACAGUGAUAUAAGUGCGUGUUGUAGGGAACAUGAAUCAGAGGAAGUGUCUGACAAAGACCUCACUGUGCAGGCAGCUUUCCCAGGAGGCUGUGAAAGUCUGACAUGUGUCACGAAGCUCCAGGUGUCAGCGGACAGUGGUGUGCACGGAGGUAAAUCUGGCACCUCGAACGGCCUUACUCCCCAGAGGGUAUGCAAGAAAAGCAAUGAGCGGUACUGCAGGCAGAUCCUCAGGGAGCCUCUCUUCAAGGGAAAGGAACUGGAGAUUUUUUGCUGCAAAGCCUGUGGGGGCGAGGAACGCUCGAGGCAAGCUUGCCGCACAAUUGCCUGUAACAGUGCCUGCUCUGUCUGCCUGUGCCGAAGAGCUCGCUCGUGUAGGGGAGCCCAAUGUGAUUAGAGCCGUUUCUUUACUCCUUGAGAUUUGUCCUUCUGAAGGCGUCUUUCGACUUGAGCACCUGGUCUGAGAUAAACCAAUUUGUCACCGCUAUGUUUGAUCAUCCGCUACGAGGAAGGACAGUUUCGGCGCAAGGUGCUUAUAGCGGAACCAGUAUUUAUGAAUUUGAUUUUAACCCUUGAGGUACUGAAUUUUGUUUUUCCUUUGCACUAAACAAACACUUAAGAUACACAUAUCGUGGCCAUGGGUUCCUAGCCACAUGCUAGAACCUCAUUUUUUUGGUGACCGCACAAUCAUGAAAAUUAAAAGGUAAUUGAAAUGCUUUAGGGGGAAUUAAAAAAUGGGUUCGAUACAUUAUUAGUCACGCCAUAAUUUAUUUGGGAAGUCUCUGCCCUGUUUUUUUGAUUUGAAAUAAUCUUGCUCUCUCCUAAUUCAAAUACUUUCCAGGCUCUGCAGAACACUAUUUCCCCACUUUUAUUCACAGUCUGAAAAGCAAACGCCAUUGCGAGCUGCCAUGUUUUUCACGCUUCAUUAUUGUACAUUUUCUGAAAGAAGCAAGGGCGCUGGAGGAGAGCUGGUGGAAACGGGGAGCGUGGCGUACCGUCGGGGUCUGGCCCUGGUGGAGCAAGGACGGGGCAAAGGCGUUACCACAGGCCAGGUCUCCUGCCCCAGCGGCCCUGGGGAACCUGCUAGAGAUGCCGCCUUCAGCCUUCGGGCCUCUGCGCAGCAAGUGGCUCCUGGCUGGAGAAGACGUGACCCACGAGCUGGUCCUCAUGAUGGCUGGAUCUCCAGGAGCUUCAAAUGCCGCCCUGUGUUGCCAGCGCCGACCCGAGGGUUUCCCCUCUGUGUUUCCCAACACCUCUGCCUACGUUUUAGAGACCACCACCUUCUGAAAGCCAUGGCCAGCCCAGGAAGUGCUACCCCAGGCACGCCAACCGAACGAGAUGCCCAAAGCUGUGAGCAGCGACCAGCCUGGCCCUCCUGGGGCAUAAAUAAGAAUAAAAGAGAAUAAAAGUCAGGUGGCUUUACCAGGGAUUGACUUCCUUUUUAUUUUUUUGAGCUGUUCUUCACAUGGUAAUUUUGCUUUUAGCUUUCUGCUGCCUUCCUCGCAGCGCUGCUGUCUGCAGUGCAGCCCUGCCAAAAGCCUCCGGGGACGGAGGGCGCUGCCACGUGCCUGCGGAGCAAAGGGGGUGGCAGGCGGUCCGAGAUGCUCUCCUUCCCUAACCGAGGGGGAUUUAGUCAAGCUCACGAGUGUCUGCCAAAGCCACGUUUAGCGCAGGGAAACGAUUGCAACACUGACAUUACUCACUGGGGGUUUAUAAAUAAAACCAGCCCAGGCACAGUCUCUCCUGACACUGGAGGAAGGGAUGCAAGGGGAGGCCCCCAUAUACUGUCCCACUGAAUUGUUUGAAGCUUUUAUCUCCAACGACCCUCCCUCAGCACGCAGGUGACAGUGUCCAGCACACCGUGGCGGGGGGAUAUAGCUGCAGGAGGGGAGCGUUAGCGUAUCCUUUCCUUAGCAAACAGGCCAGGGUGAUCUCCUUUGCCCUCCCUGGCUGCCCAGGGCAGGAGGGUUUCCUUGCUUGUCUUGAAUGCACUGAAAUGAAACCUGGGUGUUUGUUCCCUGGACCAAGUUCAGGAGACACGGCUGAGAUUUACUGUCCCACGCCACAUCUGUGUCUGACCACGGGCUCGCGUCUGGGAGCAGAAACCUUUGGAUGUCCUAGCGCAUACCGCAGAAGACAACACUCAGAAAUUGCUUCCUUAAAUAUCUACUGAGCAGAAAAUAAUACUAAUCAAGGGAAGCUCUUUCCCCUUGUAACGAGCUGACACUAUGACAUUGAAGCCUCUGAUGCGGCAGCGAUCAUACAGCCACGAAGGUCGGGGACCCCGUGGAGAUGCUGCUGGUUUACACUGUGCCAAGCAGAAGCAAGGCCCGUCCUCUUAAAAACAUGCAGAUAUUUUCCCCUGCAAAGGCCGUGGUUUAUCAGCAGCUGCUCACAGGCUCACCUCCUGCGUAUCGCAAGGUUUGGGCUUUUUCUCCUUAAAUUUAAAGGUGAUUCUGGGUUCUCGGUUUUGUUGAUGGCAGCCACCAAUUUCCAGUGAAGCUGCAGCUACAGUUGCAGUAAAUUGAAGUCAGCUGAAAGCAGGAUUUCCUUCUUCAUCAUCGUUUUCCAGAUGUCCCCGAAGCAGUCGAUGGAGCCUGCGGGGUCACGGGCUGUGAGCUGCUCUGGGUGAGAGCGGCGCGUGGCCGCUGCUUGGAUCGUGCCCUUUCCAGCCGCCCCGGCCAGAAGGACCACGGGCACUCCUGGUGCACCGGCCAACCCAGAGUGUCUGAGGCACUGAGGGAUAAAUGAGAACGUUUAGGGAAGAAGAGGAGCAAACGUCACGCAACCAGGGAAACUCUUGCUCGAGUACGGAGUUUCCUGAUGCACUUAUUCAUAAGGAGCGACUUUCCAAACAAGCAUCAGUGGGACAGCGGGUCACUGUGGCCGUGCCAGGCCGAGACGGGGCUCAGCAGGGCUUCGCUUAGCCCCAGUGGCGAAACCAGCCUCCGUGGGCAGGGACACAGCGCGGAAGGGCAGGUGACGUCCCCGGCCAGCCGGCAUGCCUUCCUUUGCAUCCUCCGAGCCUCCGGUCCUGCCCUGCUGACGCAGCAGUGCCCCCGUCCAGCAACUCCUUAACUCUUCUGAAUGGGAGGAUCGAUAUUCUCUGCUCGCCUGGGAACGGUAAUGGCUGACUGUGCUGCUCUGUAACAUCGGAUGAAUAGUUAAACAUCGGUGUGUUUUCAUCUGGUGCGGCCCAAGCCUCCCAGCUGCCGGCAGCUCCCGGCGCCUCGCUCACGUAUACGUGCAUUUUUCACAAGCCUGUGCUGUGCAAUGACCAUGCAAGGCAGGGAUUCCUUUGUUUCUUUUGUGUAUCCUUAAACUAAUGGUGUCUGUAUUUGUUACGUAUUAAUCAUUUUUAUAGUCAUCUCUGCGUGAUUCCUUCUAUAAAUAAGAAUCUCAAAUCUCUCUCCUAUCUUGUUUACCACAGCUAAUUCUUUAAGUUGGGUGUCUCCGCCAGAGCCGUAGUCUAAAUGAACACAGAUAAAAUCAUAACAUAGGCUCGGCUGUAGUAAACCAGCAUUUUCUUGGUUCUGCUGCAAAUCAAACCUUCCAAAUAAUCUUUUUAUCCAGUCUCUAUAAAUACCGUACAGCGGUGACAAAAGACAGGUGCCAAUUUCAGACUCAAAGCUGUUGUGUUAGUGGCUGGCAUUAAAUAUAUAAUUCCUGCU